rnacentral:rRNA from 1 species
CCCGCUGAAUUUAAGCAUAUCAAUAAGCGGAGGAAAAGAAACCAACAGGGAUUGCCCCAGUAACGGCGAGUGAAGCGGCAACAGCUCAAAUUUGAAAUCUGGCCCCAGGCCCGAGUUGUAAUUUGCAGAGGAUGCUUUUGGCGCGGUGCCUUCCGAGUUCCCUGGAACGGGACGCCAUAGAGGGUGAGAGCCCCGUACGGUUGGACACCAAGCCUUUGUAAAGCUCCUUCGACGAGUCGAGUAGUUUGGGAAUGCUGCUCUAAAUGGGAGGUACAUUUCUUCUAAAGCUAAAUAUUGGCCAGAGACCGAUAGCGCACAAGUAGAGUGAUCGAAAGAUGAAAAGCACUUUGAAAAGAGGGUUAAACAGCACGUGAAAUUGUUAAAAGGGAAGCGCUUGUGACCAGACUUGCGUCCGGUGAAUCACCCAGCUCUCGCGGCUGGGGCACUUCGCCGGCACAGGCCAGCAUCAGCUUGCCGUCGGGGACAAAAGCUUCAGGAACGUGGCUCCUCUCGGGGAGUGUUAUAGCCUGUUGCAUAAUACCCUUCGGCGGGCUGAGGUACGCGCUCCGCAAGGAUGCUGGCGUAAUGGUCAUCAGCGACCCGUCUUGAAACACGGA